rnacentral:rRNA from 1 species
GACGUAGGGCGCGAGCGUUGUCCGGAUUUAUUGGGCGUAAAGAGCUCGUAGGCGGCUUGUUGCGUCAGCUGUGAAAACCCGCAGCUCAACUGUGGGCUUGCAGCUGAUACGGGCAGGCUUGAGUUCGGUAGGGGAGUGGGGAAUUCCUGGUGUAGCGGUGAAAUGCGCAGAUAUCAGGAGGAACACCGGUGGCGAAGGCGCCACUCUGGGCCGAAACUGACGCUGAGGAGCGAAAGCGUGGGUAGCAAACAGG